GUCAAAAGAUUUGCUAAUGUAGGCUCAGGUUGUUGGUGAGAUUAAAAGCCCACCAAGCCGAAGACCCUUAGUCGAUCUUAGCGGAUGAUCGGCCACAAAGGGACUGAGACAAGGCCCUUACNNNNNNNAGGCAGCAGUGUGGAAUCUUGGGCAAUGGGAGCAAUCCUGACCCAGCAAUGUCGCAUGGGUGAUAACGGUCGUAACUUGUUACUGGUCGUAAAACUCUAUUAUUAAGGAAGAUAAUGACGGUACUUAAUUAAAUAGCUCCGGCCAAUCUCGUGCCAGCAGCCGCGGUAAUACGAGAGGAGCUAGCGUUAUACAGUCAAACUGGGCGUAAAGGGUUCUUCAGCGAAAAGAUGUAAGAAAAUGACGAAAUUUUAGGGGGUAACUCUAAAAGUUAUUUUUACUAUCUUUUUAGAAUUUUAUCGGUGCUAACGUUAUUCUAUCAAUAGAGUUAAAAUUCUUAGACUGAUAGAGGAGGAUCAAAGGCGAAAGCAGUUAGCAAGAUAUAAUUGACGCUUAGGGACGAAAGCAUGGGGAGCGAUCGGGAUUAGAGACCCCGGUAGUCCAUGCCCUGACCGAUGGGGGUUAAAUAAUUUUACUUAUAAAAUUAUUAUAGCUAACGCGUAAACCCCCCGCCUGAGAAGUACGGCCGCAAGGUUGAAACUCAAAGGAAUUGACGGGGGCU
rnacentral:rRNA from 1 species